rnacentral:rRNA from 1 species
UACGGAGGGGGCAAGCGUUGUCCGGACUCACUGGGCGUAAAGGGUGCGUAGGUGGCUUGCCACGUCGGUGCUGAAAGCGCCCGGCUUAACCGGGCGAGGCGUGCCGAUACGAGCGAGCUCGAGCCUCGGAGAGGGCGGUGGAACUCCUGGUGUAGUGGUGAAAUGCGUAGAGAUCAGGAAGAACACCCGUGGCGCAAGCGACCGCCUGGCCGAGUGCUGACACUGAGGCACGAAAGCGUGGGGAGCGAACCGG